GACGAACGCUGGCGGCGUGCUUAACACAUGCAAGUCGAACGGAAAGGCCCUGCUUUUGUGGGGUGCUCGAGUGGCGAACGGGUGAGUAACACGUGAGUAACCUGUCCCUGACUUUGGGAUAACUUCAGGAAACUGGGGCUCAUACCGGAUAGGAUCUCCUGCUGCAUGGUGGGGGUUGGAAAGUUUCGGCGGUUGGGGAUGGACUCGCGGCUUAUCAGCUUGUUGGUGGGGUAGUGGCUUACCAAGGCUUUGACGGGUAGCCUGCCUGAGAGGGGGACCGGCCCCAUUAGGACUGAGAUACGGCCCAGCCUCCUACGGGAGGCAACGGUGGAGAGUAUUACACAAUAGGCGGAAGCCUGAUGCGACAACGCCGCGUGCGGGAUGACGGCCUUCGGGUUGUGAACCACUUUCGCCUGUGACGAGGCGUGAGUGACGGUAAUGGGUAAAGAAGCACCGGCUAACUACGUG
rnacentral:rRNA from 1 species